UUUCUUUCUGCAGCAGGAACUGUGGCUGCCGGACAAGAGGGGUGCGGUGGAUACUGACCUUUGCUUCGGCCUCGUCGUGAAGACACAGCGCAUCUCCCCGCUGUCGGCUUCCUCCCACAGAACCCGUUUCGGGCCUCAGAGCGUCUGGUGAGAUGCUGCUGCCGCUGCUUCUGCUCCUACCCAUGUGCUGGGCCGUGGAGGUCAAGAGGCCCCGGGGCGUCUCCCUCACCAAUGUUUAUUGAACACUGCUCAGUGCCAGGCCCUGUCUGUGUGACCAAGAUACUACCUCUGCUGGCUCUCCUUUGAGUGGGCAGAAACAAGCUCAGAAGUCAGUGGUCAGUGUUUUGGCCCCGGGCAGCUGGAGGAGCCCAGAGUCCUCCUACUCCCAAGCCUAGGGGUCAGAGAAGGCUCCUCCAAGGAGGCACGGCUGCCUGUCCUAACGGCAGCUUCCACUGCACCAACACUGGCUAUAAGCCCCUGUAUAUCCCCUCCAACCGGGUCAACGAUGGUGUUUGUGACUGCUGCGAUGGAACAGACGAGUACAACAGCGGCGUCAUUUGUGAGAACACCUGCAAAGAGAAGGGCCGU
rnacentral:sRNA from 1 species